rnacentral:rRNA from 1 species
UGCCAGCAGCCGCGGUAACACGGAGGCCCCGAGCGUUGUUCGGAUUUACUGGGCGUAAAGAGUGCGUAGGCGGCGAGGUAAGUCAGAUGUGAAAUCUUGGGGCUCAACCCCGAAACUGCAUCCGAUACUGCCUUGCUAGAGGACUGGAGAGGAAACUGGAAUUUGUGGUGUAGCAGUGAAAUGCGUGGAUAUCACAAGGAAGACCAAUGGCGAAGGCAGGUUCCUGGACAGUUCCUGACGCUGAGGCACGAAGGCCAGGGUAGCGAAAAGGAUUAGAUA